CGGGGCGUGGCGCAGUUUGGCUAGCGCGCUUGAAUGGGGUUCAAGAGGUCGCUGGUUCGAAUCCAGUCGCCCCGACCA
rnacentral:tRNA from 1 species